GUUGUUUUUGGCUAGCGCUGAAGUAGGCAUUUCUGUCAGAAUACUACAGUACUCACUGUAGACCUCAACACCCCCAUAAUGCCUUACAUUCUCUUCACUGCUCCUUACAUCUUCAGUAAUGUUGGCUUUUAUUCAGAAAAUAUGUUGGCGCCAUCAGCUCGCGACCUUUUUAAAUACUCGUCGUCUGCGACUGGUUAGCAAGAGCGCCGAGUCCUGUGUCGAUGCUCCAAAAAGGGUAGACGCGGAAGUCUCAGAUUGAUAUCUCAAACCUGGGCAAAGAAAACCUACACUACAGUAUCUGCAAGGCUAGAUACCACCCCAUUGUUUCAAUUUUCGGAAGAAGAACAGUGUAGCGGGAACAGAGAGAGAGAUGAAAAAAGCAGCUCGGCUCAUGUACGUCCAUGACAAAGACGGAGCCAGAUGAGGGCUUCUCUGCUCCCCACAUGUGGACGAGAGAGUCGAGUCUCAGUGUGUGUGUGUGUGUGUGUGUGUGUGUGUGUGUGUGUGAAGACAGCUGGAAAAUUCCCCUGAGCCCAGUCUAAUUGAAAGCUUAUCAUCUUCUCUUUGUGCUUCCUGAGCGGUGGGGGAUCAGCAGGGAGCGACGCAGAGAGCAACUCUGUGAUGAGACCUGGAGGAAAUAGUUGGGAAUGUUUUGAGACGCUGCAGAUCUGUCUCACACUCGCACUGUGAAGUGGAGCUCAGGCUGUCUGGGUGGAGGGUGGCGUGAGACCUGUCAGCAGGGGAUUGUGCGUGAGGGAGUUUCUUGUGUGUGUGUGUGUGUGUGUGUGUGUGUGGAAAUGCUUUGAGUGUGCAGAGUUAAUUGAAUACAGUGUGUAUCAAGACUGCGUGUGUGCGUCCUGAGGCUUUGCUGUUCUGCCAACACCGCCCCCAUAGAAGGCUUGACACAGACACAGCAGAAGCCAUACAGAAGGAAAGAAAGGAUAGAAGUGAAUAAGAAGAAAGGAUAAAAGAGGAACGUGUAUAGAUACACUACAGGAGUGUAUAAACAGGAAAAAAUAAAAGGGUGACUAAUUUGAAGAUGGAAAAACAAAGCAUUUAGAAGUGAAAGCCCUUUCAUAGUACAUCAACAGGUGGCAUUAGUUUAAGAGGGAGGAACUGUGGGUAUUGUAUUUCAGGUUAACCACAUGAGACAUUUGAAAUCAGACCACCCGACAAGGUAGCAUCUCAAGUGUUUAAUCUUGUGGCUCUGCUUCAAAUGGGCCAAACCGAUGCCAUCAGCGCCGCGCAAAUUAACAACCACAUAGCUGGUAAAAAAGACGGCCGACAUUCCGAGCUUCUCCUGUAUUGUUUUUAACA